CGAACGGGUGAGUAACACGUGGGCAACCUGCCCAAAAGAGGGGGAUAACACUUGGAAACAGGUGCUAAUACCGCAUAACCAUAGUUACCGCAUGGUAACUAUGUAAAAGGUGGCUAUGCUACCGCUUUUGGAUGGGCCCGCGGCGCAUUAGCUAGUUGGUGGGGUAAAGGCCUACCAAGGCAAUGAUGCGUAGCCGAACUGAGAGGUUGAUCGGCCACAUUGGGACUGAGACACGGCCCAAACCCCUACGGAAGGCAGCAG
rnacentral:rRNA from 1 species